GAUGAACGCUGGCGGCGUGCCUAAUACAUGCAAGUCGAGCGAACAGACGAGGAGCUUGCUCCUCUGACGUUAGCGGCGGACGGGUGAGUAACACGUGGAUAACCUACCUAUAAGACUGGGAUAACUUCGGGAAACCGGAGCUAAUACCGGAUAAUAUAUUGAACCGCAUGGUUCAAUAGUGAAAGACGGUUUUGCUGUCACUUAUAGAUGGAUCCGCGCCGCAUUAGCUAGUUGGUAAGGUAACGGCUUACCAAGGCAACGAUGCGUAGCCGACCUGAGGGGGUAAACGGCCACACUGGAACUGAGACACGGUCCAGACUGCUACGGGAGGCAGCAGUAGGGAAUCAUCCGCAAUGGGCGAAAGCUUGACGGAGCAACGCCGCGUGAGUGAUGAAGGUCUUCGGAUCGUAAAACUCUGUUAUUAGGGAAGAACAAAUGUGUAAGUAACUAUGCACGUCUUGACGGUACCUAAUCAGAAAGCCACGGCUAACUACGUG
rnacentral:rRNA from 1 species